rfam:Myotis davidii contig209014, whole genome shotgun sequence.
GGUGGUUCUUGGGUGAUACACCCCGGAAUCGGUCUCCCUCCUCUCUGGUUCUGGAGCGUGUCACUCGAGAAUUGCU